GCUCGCUGCGGCCCGCUCCUCCUCCUCCUCCUCCUGCCGCCUCCUCCCCUCGGCCAGGCGGGCGGCGCCGGCGGCCCCCAAUCCCGGCUGCGGCUCCUCCUCCCCGCCGUGGGGCCCGGCCCGGCCCCGCCGGGCCUCGAGGCAGCAGUGACUGUAGCGGGCUUGAAGGGGCUGUGGGGUGGCCGUGUGGGGCCGCGCUUUUCCUCCGCCUCGCAGCGGCCAGGGACCUGUUGCUGAAGGCCGGGAACGGGUCGGCUCCCUCGGGCUGCCCUCGCCCACCCGUGGCAAGCGGUGGGUGGGUGCGGCACGGCGUGGUGCUGGCAGGCAGGUGGCUCCGGAGCGUCCCACCUGCUCCAUGCCGGGCUCUUCAGAUCCACGGAGGUGUGAGGAGAACUGAUCAGCCGCUAGAAAUGUUGCCUGCAUCUUUGCCAUAACUACCAGGUCAUCUGUUCCCCCUCAGUGUGCUUGGGGAACAGGCUUCAAGCAGCUCGUGGAAAGAAAAUGCUCUCAGUUAAUACCACAUGGAUGUUCUUAUGCAUUGCCCAAUGUAGUGACACCACCAUCAAGUUUAAUGCCAGUCUGCCUGGCUAAAUACCAGCAGUCUGAAGCUCAAAGCUUUACUGAUGUCAGAAACCUAUAGUUGACGUGUUGAAUGCUAAUUCACUAGAUUCUUUUUUUUUUUUUUUAAUACAAAAUACAUCAUUUAUAUGAAUUGAUUUAAAAACUACAAGCAUAAAGAACCUUUCAGAAUUAUAUAUUUACACGCUGAUAAACUGACCAGGCACUGGAGCAGCUUGAAGAGAUUAUUUUACACUCCAUCCAAAAAGCAAAUGUGCAAUGGCUUUUGCACAUUACAGGAAAAACAUGCAAACUGUAUUUUGUCCAGGCAGAAAUUGUACAAAGUAAAAAUUUAAGAGAAUUCAUUUGCAAAUCUAAAAUAUGCAUUGAUUUUGUCUUCUUUUACUGUCAGUAAAAUCAGAGGAUUUAUACACAGUUUCAAUGUUCUUUCCAAAGUAGAUAGUGUCAGUCAAAGAGUAUUCAGUCUAACUGGAUCCAUCCCUUUGAUAAAAAAUAUUUUUAAAUGGUGAAGACAUAAGAGAUCCAGUCCAUCUGGGUUCUGUUUAAACAUUUGAUCCAGUUCUGUGUGUGGUAAUAUUUAGCUGAAAAAAGAGCAAUUUUCAUCUCAAGAAAUACAUACAUUGAAGCCUUCCAUGAAGUCUGUACUACAGCUAGUCUGUACAUACGGCUAGAAUUAUAUUACACCUAGUCUGCUGGCCAUAAAAAUAUUCAGUAUCCUGAGUUCAGGACUUAUUUUAAUUAUUUGUCCAUGCUUACUGUUCUGCUGAUUUAAUUUAUGAAUACAACCAGUCACUUAAUGCUAUUACAGUGGAGGCAUAGAGGAUAAACAAUUUUAUGGCCCAGUCAUUAGCUGGC
rnacentral:lncRNA from 1 species